rnacentral:lncRNA from 1 species
GACAUAGAAGCAGCACAUGGGCCCAGAUGCUGGAGCUGAGUGAAGAACCAGUGCCGGUUGCUGCUGCUCUACUUUGCAGGUCAAGUCUGGGGCCUGGGAUUUAGAAGUUCGCUGGAGUCUUCCCGGGGGCCCCUUCAUAGAGCACGUGCCUUUCCUUGGUGGUUUAUUGGAGUAACUUUCACACUCAGUGCUGGGGGAGAAACUACGGUCGGACAGCAUUGGAGUGGCGGCUCUCCAAGGCUGGCGUUGGCGAGGACCACCCCGGGAGCUUGCACCAUGCAGAGCUACUGCCCCACAGAUGCUGUCGAGGACCCUUAGGAAGCCCAGAGCUGGCCAUGGGGAAAGCAAAAAGCAGUAACGCCUCCUGUAAGCGUUUAAUCCUUCACGCCCGCCCAGUACCGCGUGAAGCCUGGCUAGCAUCAGCUGCUGAGAGGUGGG